AUGAACGCUAGCGGCAGGCCUAAUACAUGCAAGUCGAGCGGCAAGUCGAGGAGUAAUCUAAGACCUAGGAGCGGCGCACGGGUGCGUAACGCGUAUGCAACCUACCUCAUACAGGGGGAUAGCCCGGAGAAAUCUGGAUUAAUACCCCAUGGUACUGUUAAUCAGCAUUGGUAUACAGUUAAAGAUUCAUCGGUAUGAGAUGGGCAUGCGUCUGAUUAGCUAGUUGGCGGUGUAACGGACCACCAAGGCGACGAUCAGUAGGGGUUCUGAGAGGAAGGUCCCCCACACUGGCACUGAGAUACGGGCCAGACUCCUACGGGAGGCAGCAGUAGGGAAUAUUGGGCAAUGGACGAGAGUCUGACCCAGCCAUGCCGCGUGCAGGAAGACGGCGUUCUGCGUUGUAAACUGCUUUUAUCUGGGAAGAAAAGGCCCAUGCGUGGGACAUUGCCGGUACCAGAUGAAUAAGCACCGGCUAACUCCGUG
rnacentral:rRNA from 1 species